GACGAACGCUGGCGGCGUGCUUAACACAUGCAAGUCGAACGGUAAGGCCCUUCGGGGUAUACGAGUGGCGAACGGGUGAGUAACGCGUGGGUGAUCUGCCCUGCACUUCGGGAUAAGCCUGGGAAACUGGGUCUAAUACCGGAUAGGACCACUGCCUGCAUGGGUGGUGGUGGAAAGCUUUUGCGGUGUGGGAUGGGCCCGCGGCCUAUCAGCUUGUUGGUGGGGUGAUGGCCUACCAAGGCGACGACGGGUAGCCGGCCUGAGAGGGUGACCGGCCACACUGGGACUGAGAUACGGCCCAGACUCCUACGGGAGGCAGCAGUGGGGAAUAUUGCACAAUGGGCGCAAGCCUGAUGCAGCGACGCCGCGUGAGGGAUGACGGCCUUCGGGUUGUAAACCUCUUUCAGUAGGGACGAAGCGCAAGUGACGGUACCUACAGAAGAAGGACCGGCCAACUACGUGCCAGCCACCGCCGUAA
rnacentral:rRNA from 1 species